rnacentral:lncRNA from 1 species
AAAAGAUCCUGUUUCAUGAGAGAAAAGAGCAUUAAGCUUUAUUAACAAAUUUCUUAUUAUCGUGGACAAACAACAACCCAUUGGAUUUUUUUCUCUUCUCUAGGUUCUGACUUAAUGAAACCCACCAGUUUUUACACUCUAACUUUCCUAUUUCAAGUGUUGCCUGGAAAGGAAGUCUUAGUCAUCAGUGACACUUUUCAAAUUAUCAUCUAGGCACAACUGUAAUUUACUGACCAGGUCACAUGAGGAGUAAGUUAUCCAAACUAAACUACUGAAAUGGUGAGGAUCUCUUACUUCAUCUUCUUCUAAGUUAAUAGGAUUCAUGUAGACAGAUGAACUAAAAACAGCACCAUCGGUAUCCUUUGUUCGGAUGUG